ensembl:snRNA Gm24202 predicted gene, 24202
AUGCUUGCUUCUGCAGCACAUAUACUAAAAUUGGAAGGAUACAGAGUAGAUUAGCAUGGCCCCUGCGCAAAGGAUGCAAAUUCGUGAAGUGUUCCAUAAAAAU